rnacentral:rRNA from 1 species
CCUACGGGGGGCAGCAGUGGGGAAUAUUGCGCAAUGGGGGAAACCCUGACGCAGCGACGCCAUGUGAGGGACGAAGGCUUUCGGGUCGUAAACCUCUGUCAGGAGGGAGGAAACUGUUUGAGGCUAAUACCCUCUUUCACUGACGGUACCUCCAGAGGAAGCACCGGCUAACUCCGUGCCAGCAGCCGCGGUAAUACGGAGGGUGCGAGCGUUAAUCGGAAUCACUGGGCGUAAAGCGCGCGUAGGCGGCGCGAUAAGUCAGGCGUGAAAGCCCUCGGCUCAACCGGGGAAUUGCGCUUGAUACUGUCGUGCUUGAGUCUCGGAGAGGGUGGCGGAAUUCCAGGUGUAGGAGUGAAAUCCGUAGAUAUCUGGAGGAACACCAGUGGCGAAGGCGGCUACCUGGACAGUAACUGACGCUGAGGUACGAAAGUGUGGGGAGCAAACAGGAUUAGA